UGUAAACAUAAGCGAUCGCGGUUAAAAAGGGAUUUCUCACUAAAGUUGUAUACACUUCAAACUUUAAUUAUAUGUGGAUAAUGCUAAAUUAUCUCUAAGAAAUUAUGUCAAAACAAUAUUUUAGGGUUAGAUAAUAUGUGAGUUUCAAGUGCUUCUGUUAUGAUACGUGUUUUAUUUUCAAGAUCCGGAAUACUUAUCUGAAGUUGUUUUAUUUGACGCUGCUUCUCAAUAUAUUUGUUAAACUCUUCACAGUCUUCAAGUGUUUGGUUAUUUACUGCCAUUCGACCUGCAAUUUUGACAUCAAUUGUAUGACAAGAGUCUUCUAACAUGUUGAAGAAUUUUAAAUACGUACCAAGUGAGAUGUGUAAUGCUGGAAUUCCGAUCUUAAAUUGCAAUAAAAAUAUUAAAUUAUUGUUAACAAUCACUUUUGUUGUAAUUAAAAUAAAAGUUACGGAUGUUAGUUGGAAAAUAAUUAUUUAAAGCAAAGUACCUGAUCAAGUGGCACAUUAAAUAACCUUUGGUCAAUAACAUUAUCACAUAGCUUGGCAAACUUGGGAUCUGAACCAUGAUUUUUAUAUUUUUCUAAAUGUGAAUCUAGUGUCUCAAGUGAUCGCAUUUCAAUGUUGUCCUUAAUUGGAGUUGACAUUCCUUGUCUUGUGAUGUUGCAAAACAGGCAUGGGUGUCUACCUGAGGUUAUCAAACAGUUCAAUACUUAAAAAACAAAAUCAAUCAUAUAGCAGGAAUAUGCUCCAUAUGAGUUUUUAAAUGGAUAUGUAUAUAUUAAAUAUUUACUUACCAGUUGCACCAGUUAUUCCAUAGAUUGCACACAAGAAUUUGUAAUCACCAAAUAAAAAUACACGAAUCUGUUUUUCUCUACAUUUGAAAAUAGUUAUAUAGGUUCAAAUUAAUCACAAACAACAUAAAUAAUUUUGUUUUAAAUAUUUUGAUUAUUUAGUUGGUUGUAACAUAUUCUUACCUCCAAAUGGUAUUUUGCAACAAAUCGAUUUCUGAUUUAAAUCUUGACAGUGAAAACUUCAGAUUUGUUUUACAAUCACUUGCUUCAAAUAUGUUAAAGACAGUUGUGUUUGUUUUUGCAUUAGGUUUCUCUACAUUCACUACUUGGUAACACAUUUUGAACGAGCCACCUCCAUGGUCGCCUCCUAUUUUUAUAUGGAUUUCAUUGCAUUUAAUCUUUUUGUUCAAUAGUAAGUUGUUGCUAAAAUAUAUUAUAGAAAAUGAAAUUUUAGAACUGAUUUUUUUAUUUAUAUUGAAUGUGUGCCAAAUAAAUUUAUUUUUGUAUUUUUUUGUAGUAUUAUAUCUAAACCUUCCAAGUCAGAAAUUGUUAAAGAAAGAUAUAAUACAAGUACUUUUAUAAGCAAGAUUUGUUUUUACCUUUCUAAUCUAUCUAGCACAUUUAUUAUAUGUCCAUGCAGAUUGUUAAUAUAAGCACAUGGCAAGUGGUUUGGUUGAUUUUGGACCUAAUGCUUCCACCACAUGUUGUGCUUAUGUAAUCGUUUAACUGUGAUUGUCGUUUGCAAACUGUUCGUAAAGUUGCAUCUUUACUUUCUUUAUAGGCUUUUGGUGUUGAUGUGAAGCAUAAAGGCUAAAAUACUAUGUAGUUUGUGAAUGUUUUAUAUGUUAUUAUAGUUUAUUAAAAUAAAAGUUGAAUAAUUUUGUAAUAGUAAUUUUUUACUAAAGUAAUCUUACCCUUGGUCCAUCUGUCUGAAAUUCUAUUACAUUGGAUGUUGUUUGCAACAUUUUUUGUUUAAUAAUAUGAAGUGCAACAGCAUCAAUAUCCCUUGUGAUAACACUUGUUGAAUUUAAUGCAAAUAUAUCUGUUAGAGUUGUUUGUGAUGAGGGUGUUGACAAGGUUGUGGAAAUUGGUAUUGGAGUCUGACAAUUAUUUUGAUGGUUGAAGCGUUCUGAUUGUUGUGACACUUUAAAUAAUCUACCGCAAUGUUGCUUACAUUCUUCUUGAAUAUUAUUUAUCAUUUCAAUAACAUUGCUAGAGGAGGUUAUUCCAUCAAUUGAAAUUGAAAAGGAGCAUUUAGGGCAUUUUGUUUUAAAUAAUAGUUUACCAUUGAUUAGUGGUAAUAUACAUGGUGCACAAAACGAAUGCAGACAGUUUUUUAAAAUAACUGGUUUAUACAUAAUACCAUUACAAAUAUAACA
rnacentral:lncRNA from 1 species